CCUACGGGAGGCAGCAGUAAGGAAUAUUGGUCAAUGGACGAAAGUCUGAACCAGCCAUGCCGCGUGAAGGAUUAAGGCCCUCUGGGUUGUAAACUUCUUUUAUCUGGGACGAAAAAAGGGUAUUCUUACUCACUUGACGGUACCAGAGGAAUAAGCACCGGCUAACUCCGUGCCAGCAGCCGCGGUAAUACGGAGGGUGCAAGCGUUAUCCGGAUUUACUGGGUUUAAAGGGUGCGUAGGUGGGCUUGUAAGUCAGUGGUGAAAUCUCCGGGCUUAACCCGGAAACUGCCAUUGAUACUAUAGGUCUUGAAUUAUCUGGAGGUAAGCGGAAUAUGUCAUGUAGCGGUGAAAUGCUUAGAUAUGACAUAGAACACCAAUUGCGAAGGCAGCUUACUACGGAUAUAUUGACACUGAGGCACGAAAGCGUGGGGAUCAAACAGGAUUAGAUACCCUGGUAGUCCACGCCCUAAACGAUGGAUACUCGACAUCAGCGAUACACUGUUGGUGUCUGAGCGAAAGCAUUAAGUAUCCCACCUGGGAAGUACGAUCGCAAGAUUGAAACUCAAAGGAAUUGACGGCUGAGAGNGCGAGACGACGACGAGGAGAGG
rnacentral:rRNA from 1 species